CCUACGGGUGGCAGCAGUGAGGAAUAUUGGUCAAUGGGCGAGAGCCUGAACCAGCCAAGUCGCGUGAAGGAUGACGGCCCUACGGGUUGUAAACUUCUUUUGUCAGGGAGCAAUUUGGUCCACGCGUGGGCUUAGCGAGAGUACCUGAAGAAAAAGCAUCGGCUAACUCCGUGCUAGCAGCCGCGGUAAUACGGAGGAUGCGAGCGUUAUCCGGAUUUAUUGGGUUUAAAGGGUGCGUAGGCGGAAUAUCAAGUCAGCGGUAAAAAUUCGGGGCUCAACCCCGUCGUGCCGUUGAAACUGAUGGUCUUGAGUGGGCGAGAGGUAUGCGGAAUGCGUGGUGUAGCGGUGAAAUGCAUAGAUAUCACGCAGAACUCCGAUUGCGAAGGCAGCAUACCGGCGCCCAACUGACGCUGAAGCACGAAAGCGUGGGUAUCGAACAGGAUUAGAUACCCGGGUAGUC
rnacentral:rRNA from 1 species